CCCCGAUUUUUUUUAUUUUUGAAAAAAAAGUACGAUUUCCGGAUUUUGUUCAUUUCCGUUACCGGUAACCGUCGAUAUUUCGUUUCGUGUAAAACUUCCUGUUUCAAUUUCGGUUUUCGUAUUUCUUAGAGUAUUCUAACUGAAUGAUUAAGUCGAUAUAUUCGGCUGAUCUAUGAUGACAACAUCAUUUACCGAGAAUAAAAAUUGAUUACGAGAAGGGUGUGAAAUAUUCGGGUAACGAGUAAUACGCUGUGUCUAAGAACGCAAAUCGCCGUACACUAUGUCACAAAUGACACAAAUGUUAGUGAGUAAAACACAUUGGAUUUAUUUUAUUUAUACAAUGACUUUGGAUAUGAAAUUUGGACUGUGAAGGAAACCCAAAAGCAUCAGAAUCGUGGAACACAUUUGACUGGAAUAAAGAAAUUGACACAAGCAUGAAGUUUUUAGAUUAA
rnacentral:lncRNA from 1 species